CUUUUGGUUUUCCUCAUAUACCUAGUUUCCCUAGAAUGCACUGCCCUUAGACACCCAAAGCUCCUUUUAUUUGUCUAAUUAGUUCUCCAUACUUUAUCAUCUUUUGAUGAAAUAUUACAUAAAACCAGAAGUCUAUACUUCUUUAGUUUUUUAUGUAAAUCCUGUAUUGAUAAAAUGCCAAUAUUAAGUACAUUUUGCAGGUUUUUAUUCUUUUAAUGUCUUUUGUUACUGUUGUUUAUGUAAUAUGAAAGCUGUAGUCACAGAACACAAGAGGGUAUGGAAGUUUUCUUCUAUGUAAGCCACAAGUGGCACAGCCAGUAUUGCAUCCUAUAGAGCCCACACCUCCCAAACAUUAUUAGCAAUACAAUGAUGAAUUAUAAAAAAAUCAUUGUGAAUUUCUAAUUGGAAAGUGACGUGAGGAAAUUUUUGACAUUCUCUUUCAUGUAAUACCUUUCCUAUUGCUGUAAUUUACUUGUCAAAUAGAAAUAUUGCACUGGUUUUACCUGGUAUUUGGUGGUCCAAAGACUCUCUUUGGAUGUAACAUACUUUCCAUCAAGGGGAACACCUUUAUUUUGAAAAUCUUGAACUCCAUCCAGUAACUAUUUAGUAAAAACAUAAACAUAGCUUCAAGGUACAAGUUUUGGACAGACUGUCAAUGAAUUAUGUCGCGCCCCAUGAAACUACAUUUCUCAGUUAUAAAACACAGACACCGGUUCCUUUGAAAAGGUGAUGUCAGUAAGAAACCAGCAUACAUAGUGGUCAGUUGUUUAAAGACACCAUUCCAAAGACAUAGACACUGACAUGGCUGUCUGACUGAUAGGCACUCUCCUUAGUCAACUCUACAUCCAUUUAUGCAGACUUAUGCAGAGGACCAUUGGGGUGUAGCUAUCUCAUUUAAAUUCCUCUAAAAUUCCUCUUAAAUUCCUUUUAUAGCUUCAAAUAUGUUUUCCAAAUCUGGCAUUCAAGGUUUGCUACUACUUGGGGAAAAGAACAACAGCAGAGUAAUCCUAAAUGCUGUUACUUGGUGGCUUAGUGGGCUGCUGCAAUGGCUGCACAGGUAAAUGUCGCUCAGAGGGAAGAGAGAGCUCAGAUACUGCAGCUGCAAAGAUUGACACUGGCCAUCAGAGAACAUCUCUCAGGUGGCUGAGAGCUGGAGUCAAAAAACAAUAACCAAAAUCUAUUAGACACAACCAUGACGAAGUUCACUGGAGAGGUUAAAAUCUGGGGUAUGUCAAGAAUAUAAAAGUAAGAUGAAAAUAAAAUGCAUGUAUCAUAAAUCUUUUCAUUUCCAUUAUGAACUCUCAUUCUACCAAAACAGAAACAUGGCUAGUGACCUGGGCUUAGAACCAUCUAGAUGCCCACGUCCUACAGGGACAGCAGGAUCUCUGCUAACUUCGGGUCAUCACAUUUUACUUUUAUUCAUGGUUUUGAUCCUUAUUUUGUGUUAAUGCUUUUUUUUUGUUACUAUGUUUUUUUUUUUUUUUCAAAUAAGUGAAAACAUAUCAAAGGGAAAGUUUGACUCCAAGACCAGGCCAAGCCUACCGAUUCUUUUAGUCCUCUUCGCACUUUCAAUGGAAUGAAAGCAAUUUUUGUCCCUUAUGUGUUUAAAACAGCGGCUGUGAAAAUAAUUAAUCACUAAUGAAGCUCCAGCAGCAACUGCACGAGGAUGCUGUCCGUUCAUCAGGACCUGGGGACCAGGCCGAUGGAACCAAGCUGGGUGGAGUCCUAUGGAGAACAUCUGGGUGGAUGUGUACAGAAGGAGUCUUCUCCAGAACCUGGAACUUCUUCAGUACCUGGCUGUGUUUUGGUUCCUAUGAUGUAUAGAGGAAAAUUUGUGCCAUCAGGUGUUUGCAUGCUAUUCCCAGUGAUUUUAGUGCACACAUCAGGCUCCCUUUUAAUCCCCACGAGGCUGACAGGAGAUGACUUACUUCUGUCUGUGUAUAACUAGUAAAGGAGAGUAGUCACAGAUUCCAUAACGUUUUGUGCUAUGUUUUGCUUGUUUUUGAGACAGGAUCUCACCAAGUUGUUCAGGCUGGCGUUGAAUUGAUUUGUAGUCCAGCCCAGUUUUGAAUACUCGAUCUGCAUCAGCAUCUGGAGUGGCUGGGAUUACAGACCCAGGCCUAGCAGUUAGAUCCUUUCAGGUAGAAUGGGGAACUGUUCUGGGUAUCACCUGCCUACUCAGGGCACCUGAUGUGGGACUGUCACUAGGUAUGCUGCACACAGCUUCUCGAGGCUCCUUUUCCUUGGGACCUGUAAUCUCUGCUCUCUGCAUUUUCACUUUUCUGGUCUGUAAAACAAGGAUAAUAAGUUCUCUCUAGUCCAUUUCACGGUGCAUAUGUUUCGUGAGCUGCAAUAUCCUACACAAACAUAAGGAAUGGGAGCCAUAGCUUUUGACAGAACAAGAUUUGGAACGGGUGACAAGACAGAAUUUGUUCAGGAUUGUGUUUCAUUGACUAGGCCAAUAACAUCAAGACAAGGACUAGCAGGAACUUUAUGGAUCACAUUUCUUCAUGGGUUGGGAACACAUUUAUUUACCAAGCCUGCUGAGGAAGCUGAGCUUUCUGCUCAUGCUCUUGUCAGCCCUAAAGCUGAGCCAGGCUGGGUCUUGGGAGGAGUUACCAACCGCCACAUCAGGAGAGGUUGUUGGUUGGUCUUCACUGCUUGCUCAGGCUCUCUCCAGUUGGUCUCAGCUUUGCUGCUGCUCUUUUAAAAGCUCAGUAAAGUGGUGUUAGCUCAUUAUAGCUUUUGCCCCACCCUUGGGAGAAUGCCCAGGGAUUGUAGACCGCCUCCGGGGAGCCCACAGGAAGCUGGAUCAGAAAGUGCAGAAUCACUGUGUGCCUGAGCACUAGGAAGCCGAUCUGAUCCUUCAGCUGGAUUCUCUCUCCAAUCUAAUAUUUGACACCUGAGGAAAUGCCUUAUUGGUGUCCCUCCUUGCUGGUGGCUCACAUCCUGCCUCUAGAGGAGGCGAAUGGGAAAAAGGGGCCCUUCC
ensembl:lncRNA